AAAAUGUUUUACUAUAGUUGAUCGAGACUGGUUCUUUUAUUAUCAGUAUAUUGUGAACAUGCCCCAAAGCAUCUAGCCCUACACGUCUGUGGACGCUACCCUGAAAACUUGUCUGUGGAAAAUUCUUCCAAAUUCCAAGCAGCUCAUAAAUGAAAGUAUUCCAUAGGGAUUUUCUCCAACUUGACCAAAAAGUCACACACGCAUCUCCCUAAAUCCAAACUAAACUUGCCCCGUGCUCAGCUCACUUUUGGUCAGGUUUCAAAAAGCCUGUGUUCACCCCAUCAGGGUGAUGGGGGGAUGUCAGGGCAGAAGCAGACAGACCCCUCUGUUGUGUUCAUUGUGUGGCUGGUCACACUUUUAUAAAAUUUGCCAUAAGAGGAUUGUUUGUGCAAUCCUCCACACGUGAGGAACCCUGGAGUGUGGCCUCAUUAGCUUCAAAGUGAAUCUGCCUCUCUGUUAUUCACUUCUAGUGAAAAACCUCAGUCACAACCUGGUCUGUGAAUUUCAGGAUCUGCUAAUGGGUCACCACCCGCCGUCAGACCCUUUGCUCCGCCCGAGUCUUCAGAUGACAGGGCAGCUGGGGUGCCCUCUGCAGGAGGAGGCUGGGGGACUGGGGGCUUGCUGGCUGAGGUGGGGGGGGCUGUCCCUUUUGGUCCUCCGUGCAUUUGGUGGCAGAGAUGAGGGUAGGGAAAAUGUCAGGUGCACCAGAUCCGUUUUUCUCCCACACGUGAUAAAGACACCGGGAUGACACCUUGAUUUGUACUAUUCGAGACAAAUCUGGCGUCUAAGGACGCUGAGACUCGGUCCUCACGAUCUCAGGGAUGAAAAGUAGGUUUCCCAGGCAUUGGCACUAGCGUUGGCUCUGCAAGUUGAGGUCGUAGCGCUCACCAACAUGCAAUGUCUCUUUCCGGAAUCGAAGACCAUAGACAGAUUAUUGAACGAUGAAAUUUGAUGUUGUUUUUUUUUUUCUUGAGUUAAGUAAACAAACACAAAGUGUAAAAUGCCCUACUAGCUGUUUCACGGAAGACAAUUCUCACCCCUUGCUAGUGGGCCUCUAAGAAAGGUCGAGAACUGCUUCGAGCCAUCCGUACAAUUUGAGAAACACCCGGGGAACUUUUCCCAAUGGGUUGCAUUGAAGAGUUGGAAACGACUGUAGCAGACCCCUAGCAAAAAGCUUUACACAAUUCAGCACUGAACUUCUUUCCCGGAAACUUAUAUUGGUCCGAAGAAUACAGGUGAAAGGAUGACGAGAGCUCUAGAACCAUCUUAUAGUGUAUAACAAUCAGGAUACAUUUUUUGGCCACACCUGCAGUGUAUGGAAGUUCCCAGGCCAGGGACUGAACCCACAUCACAGCUGUAGCCAGAGUCACAGCAGUGACAGUACCAGAUCCUUAAUCCACAGAACCACCAGGGAACUCCUGGAUUUUGUUGUUGUUGUGGGUUUUUUUGCUUUUGGGGGGGCCGCAUCUGCAGCAUAUGGAGGUUCCCAGGUUUGGAGUCAAAUCAGAGCUGCAGUUGCUGGCUUACACCACAGCCACAGCAAAGCCAGAUUUGAGCUGCAUCUGCCAACUACACUGUAGCUCGUGGCAACACCAGAUCCUUAACCUACUGAGCAACGCCAGGGAUCGAACUCACAUCCUCAUGGAUACUAGUCAGGUUGGUAACCUGCUGAGCCACGACGGGAACUCCCUCCUGGAUUUUUUUUUUAAUAGCCGUAUUUCCAGUGUCCAUGCUAGUAAUAUAUUAUGCUUCCCAAUAAUUAUUUUUUAAUACAUCAAGGGCAGGGCCACAUUAUAAUUUUAUUGUCUCUAGACAGUUCAGGGGAACUUUCUUCCAUAGAAAUAUUUAAAAUUAUAUUUUACAUUUAAAGUAUAAGAAUCUUUUUCAUUGAAAAAGAAAACUAAAACCCAGGCUGAAUUAAGAAUUAAGACAUUUUCUUCAGCCCUAAAAGCUGUUUUCUUUCCUUCUGAUUUUCAAAGAAAUCAAGAUAUUUUGCGGUUCUCUAAAAGUUCCAUGGACCCUAAACACUGUGUCUGGUAGAUAAAUCACCCCGAGUGAAGGAAGGCAUGAGGCCAGUGACACGCAAGCCACCAGAGAGCAGGUCCCCAGGCAGAGGGAGGGAACUUGGGUUUCCCAGUUUCCUGUGAGAGAAGUUACCUGCUGCGUGACCACCUCCCAACAUUUAGGCUGACUUCUUAGUCUGAUGCCUGAGAUUAGGGAUUCUUCUUGGGGCUUUUUAAUUCUUUUCAAAAAGAAGUAUAAAAUAGCUUUAUUUCUGACUGACAAUGAAUGAGGUGCUCCGAGAUUUCCUACUUAGGGACACUGGAUUCUUGACGAGACAAUCAUUUUCUUUUUUUUUUUUUAAAGUAUAGUUGAUUUUCAGUGCGGGACCAAUUUCUGCAGUACCGCAAAGUGGCCCAGCAUACGUGUAUUCCCUUUCCUAGGUUAUCGUCCAUCCUGCUCCACCCCAAGAGACUGGAUCUCGUCCCGGUGCUGUACAGCAGGACCUCAGGGCUGAACCAUUCGAACGGUUAGAGUUUGCACCUGCUAACCCCAAACUCCCCGUCCAUCUCACUCCCUCCCCCUCCCCCUUGGCAACCACAAGCCUACUCUCUGUGUCUGUGCGUCUGUUCCUGUUUUGCAAAUAGGUUCAUUUGUGCCGAAAUUUUAAAUUCCGCAUAUAAGUGAUCACAUAUCAUAAGUGAUAAAUGGCAUUUGUCUUUCUCUUUCUGACCUACUUCACUUAGUAUGAAAAUCUCUAAUUGCAUCCAGGCUGCUGCAAAUGGCAUGAUUUUGUUCAUUUUUGUGGCUGAGUAGUGUUCCGUUGUGUAUAUAUACCACAUCUUCUUUUUGUUUGGUUGGUUUUUGUUUUUUGCCUUUUCUAGGGCCACUCCUGCAGCAUAUGGAGGUUCCCAGGCUAGGGGUCUAAUCAGAGCUGUAGCCACCAGCCUACACCACAGCCACAGCAAGGCAGGAUCCGAG
rnacentral:lncRNA from 1 species